GAAACGUUAGCUCAAUGGAAGAGCCCUGACCAUCCAAGUCAGAUGUUACGGGUUCGAGUCCCGUACGUUUCG
rnacentral:tRNA from 1 species